GGGGUUAUAGCUCAGUACUAGAGCACUUGCCUCGCAUAUAUGAGGCCCUGGGUUCAAUCCCCAGUACCAUCA
rnacentral:tRNA from 1 species